rnacentral:rRNA from 1 species
GACGAACGCUGGCGGCGUGCCUAAUACAUGCAAGUAGAACGCUGAAGGAGGAGCUUGCUCUUCUGGAUGAGUUGCGAACGGGUGAGUAACGCGUAGGUAACCUGCCUGGUAGCGGGGGAUAACUAUUGGAAACGAUAGCUAAUACCGCAUAAGAGUAGAUGUUGCAUGACAUUUACUUAAAAGGUGCAAUUGCAUCACUACCAGAUGGACCUGCGUUGUAUUAGCUAGUUGGUGGGGUAACGGCUUACCAAGGCGACGAUACAUAGCCGACCUGAGAGGGUGGUCGGCCCACCUGGGACUGGGGCACGGCCCAGACUCCUUCGGGAGGCAGCAGUAGGGAAUCUUCGGCAAUGGACGGAAGUCUGACCGAGCAACUCCGCGUGAGUGAAGAAGGUUUUCGGAUCGUAAAGCUCUGUUGUAAGAGAAGAACGAGUGUGAGAGUGGAAAGUUCACACUGUGACGGUAUCUUACCAGAAAGGGACGGCUAACUACGUG